UACAGAGAGUGCAAGCGUUAAUCGGAUUUACUGGGCGUAAAGCGCGCGUAGGUGGAAUCUUAAGUCGGAUGUGAAAUCCCCGGGCUUAACCUGGGAAUUGCAUUCGAUACUGGGUUUCUAGAGUAUGGUAGAGGGAAGUGGAAUUUCCGGUGUAGCGGUGAAAUGCGUAGAUAUCGGAAGGAACAUCAGUGGCGAAAGCGGCUUCCUGGACCAAUACUGACACUUAGGCGCGAAAGCGUGGGGAGCAAACAGG
rnacentral:rRNA from 1 species